rnacentral:rRNA from 1 species
GAACGCUGGCGGCGUGCCUAAUACAAGCAAGUCGAGCGAACGGACGAGAAGCUUGCUUCUCUGAUGUUAGCGGCGGACGGGUGAGUAACACGUGGAUAACCUACCUAUAAGACUGGGAUAACUUCGGGAAACCGGAGCUAAUACCGGAUAAUAUUUUGAACCGCAUGGUUCAAAAGUGAAAGACGGUCUUGCUGUCACUUAUAGAUGGAUCCGCGCUGCAUUAGCUAGUUGGUAAGGUAACGGCUUACCAAGGCAACGAUGCAUAGCCGACCUGAGAGGGUGAUCUGCCACACUGGAACUGAGACACGGUCCAGACUCCUACGGGAGGCAGCAGUAGGGAAUCUUCCGCAAUGGGCGAAAGCCUGACGGAGCAACGCCGCGUGAGUGAUGAAGGUCUUCGGAUCGUAAAACUCUGUUAUUAGGGAAGAACAUAUGUGUAAGUAACUGUGCACAUCUUGACGGUACCUAAUCAGAAAGCCACGGCUAACUACGUG